CAGAAAGAAGGCAAUGGCAUUCUAAGAAAUACCAACAAGCAAGGCUGCCUAUCACAUCCCUUCUAAUCUGUUUAACUUCCCUGUAUUAACCAACCUCUUACACUGAAAAUAAUGCCAUGGAAAGAAGGGGAAGACAGGACAACCCCUAGUUCCUGUUCUUUUCAGUUCCUUCCUUACUUGUCGGUAGCCAAAAGUAGAGUGUUGGUGUAAUAUGCAUGUAUCAAGAAGUCAAAUAAAAACAGAUGAGGCUGGGCACAGUGGCCCACGUGUGUAACCUCAGCACUUUGAGAGGCCCAGGUGGGUGGAUCACUUGAGGUCAGGAGUUCAAGACCAGCCUGGCCAACACUGUCAAACCCUGUCUCUACUGAAAAUACCAAAAUUAGCCAGACAUGGUGGCAGGCACCUGUAAUCCCAGCUACUCAGGAGGCUGAGGCAUGAGAAUCACUUGAACCUUGGAGGCAAACGUUGCAAUGAGCCAAGAUUGUGCCACUGCACUCCAGCCUGGGCGAUAGAGUGAGACUGUUUCAAAAAAAACCCAAAAAAUAAAAAACAGAUGAGUUAGUUUUGUGCAAAAUACAAAUGUACAUAUGAGCUAUAAAAUCUCAAUUGUGCAAUUUCAAUGAUUCUGCUUAUGAGUUACAACUACAACUGGCAUUUAAAACUGACAUUACACAGUAUAAAGAUGAAUGGUAACAUUUAUGCUAAUAAUUUUAAUAUUUCUUUUUCUUGUUGCAUUAGCUAGUAUUUCCAGUGUAAUGUUGAAAAGGAAUGGUAACAGGGGACAUCUUUAUCUUGUUCCUUGUCUUAGUAGGAAAGCCUCUAGUUUCUUGCUAUUAAGUAUGAAGUUAACUAUAGGUUUUUGGUAAAUAUCCUUUAUCAAUUUGAAUAAGUUCCCUUCUAUUCCUAGUUUACUGAGAGGUUUUAUCAUUAAUGGAUUUUGAACUUUGAAGUCAAAUGCUUUUUCUGCAACUAUCGAUAUGAUCAUGCAAUUUUUCCUUUUUAGCCUGUAGACAUGAUGGAUUGAAUUAAUUGACCUUCAAAUGUUGAAUAAACUUCGCAUACUUGUGAUAAAUCCCACUUGGUCAUGGUGUAUAAUAUUUUUCAUGGACAGUUAGAUCUGGUUUGCUAGUAUUUUACUGAAGAUUUGUGCAUCUAUCUUCAUGAGAGAUACUGAUCUGUAGUUUUAUUUUCCUGUGAUGUCUUUAUUUUAUUAAAGUAUCAGGAUGGAGGAUCACUUCAAGAUGGCCAAAUAGGAACAGCUCCAGUCUGCAGCUCCCAGCCUAAUCAAUGCAGAAGACGGGUGAUUUCUGCAUUUCCAAAUGAAGUACCUGGUUCAUCUCACCGGGACUGGUUAGACAGUGGGUGCAGCCCACAGAGGGCAAGCUGAAGCAGGGAAGUUGCUUUGACUCACCCGGGAAGUGCAAGGGGUUGGGGGAUUUCCCUUUCCUAGCCAAGGGAAGCUGUGACAGAUGGUACCUGGAAAAUUGGGACACUCCUACCCUAACAGUGCGCUUUUCCAACAGUCUUAGCAAAUGGCAUACCAGAAGAUUAUAUCCCCCACCUGGCUCAGCAGAUCCCAUGCCCACAGAGCCUUGCUCACUGCUAGCGCUGCAAUCCAAGAUCAAACUGGGCUGGGGGAGGGGUGUCUGCCAUUUCUGAGGCUUGAGUAGGUAAACAAGGCAGCCAGGAAGCUUGAACUGGGUGGAGCCCACCACAGCUCAAUGAGGCCCACCUGCCUCUGUAGACUCCACCUUUGGGGGCAGGGCAUAGCUGAACAAAAGGCAGCAGAAACUUCUGUAGACUUAAACGUCCCUGUCUGACAGCUCUGAAGAGAGCAGUGGUUCUCCCAGCAUGGAGUUUGAGCUCUGAGAAUAGACAGACUGCCUCCUCAAGUGAUCCCUGAACCCUGUGUAGUCUAACUGGGAGACACCUCCCAGUAGGGGCUGACUGACACCUCAUACAGCUGGGUUACCCUCUGAGACAAAGCUUCCAGAGGAAGGAUCAGGCAGUAUCCACUGGUGAUACCCAGGCAAACAGGGUCUGCAAUGGACCUCCAGCAAACUCCAACAGACCUGUAGCUGAGGGACCUGACUAUUAGAAGGAAAACUAACAAACAGAAAGGAAUAGCAUCAACAUCAACAAAAAGAACAUCCACACCAAAACCCCAUCUGUAGGUCACCAUCAUCAAAAACCAAAGGUAAAUAAAUCCAGACUAUCAUUGAUGGACAUUUGGGUUGGUUCCAAGUCUUUGCUAUUGUGAGUAGUACUGCAAUAAACAUAUAUGUGCAUGUGUCUUUAUAGUAGCAUGAUUUAUAAUCCUUUGGGUAUAUACCCAGUAAUGGGAUCACUGGGCCAAAUGGUAUUUCUAGUUCUAGAUCCUUGAGGAUUUCCCGCACUGUCUUCCACAAUAGUUGAACUACUUUACACUCCAACCAACAGUGUAAAAGCAUUCCUAUUUCUCCACAUCCUUUCUAGCACCUGUUGUGUGCUGACUUUUUAAUGAUCGCCAUUCUAACUGGUGUGAGAUGAUAUCUCAUUGUGGUUUUGAUUUGCAUUUCUCUGAUGACCAGUGAUGAUGAGCAUUUUUUCAUGUGACUGUUGGCUGCAUAAAUGUCUUCUUUUGAGAAGUGUCUGUUCAUAUCCUUUGCCCACUUUUUGAUGGAGUUGUUUGUUUUUU
rnacentral:lncRNA from 1 species